rnacentral:rRNA from 1 species
AAUCGGAAUUACUGGGCGUAAAGCGCGCGUAGGUGGCUUGAUAAGCCGGUUGUGAAAGCCCCGGGCUCAACCUGGGAACGGCAUCCGGAACUGUCAAGCUAGAGUACAGGAGAGGAAGGUAGAAUUCCCGGUGUAGCGGUGAAAUGCGUAGAGAUCGGGAGGAAUACCAGUGGCGAAGGCGGCCUCCUGGACUGAUACUGACACUGAGGUGCGAAAGCGUGGGUAGCAAACAGGAUUAGAUACCCUGGUAGUCCACGCCGUAAACGCUGUCGACCAGCCGUUGGGUGCCUAGCGCACUUUGUGGCGAAGUUAACGCGAUAAGUCGACCGCCUGGGUAGUACGGCCGCAAGGUUAAAACUCAAAUGAAUUGACGGGGGCCCGCACAAGCGGUGGAGCAUGUGGUUUAAUUCGAUGCAACGCGAAGAACCUUACCUACCCUUGACAUCCUGCGAACCCGGAAGAGAUUCCGGAGUGCCUUCGGGAACGCAGAGACAGGUGCUGCAUGGCUGUCGUCAGCUCGUGUUGUGAAAUGUUGGGUUAAGUCCCGUAACGAGCGCAACCCUUGUCCUUAUUUGCCAGCACGUAAUGGUGGGAACUCUAAGGAGACUGCCGGUGACAAACCGGAGGAAGGUGGGGACGACGUCAAGUCAUCAUGGCCCUUACGGGUAGGGCUACACACGUGCUAUAAUGGCCGGUACAAAGGGUUGCGAACUCGCGAGAGCAAGCCAAUCCCAGAAAGCCGGUCUCUGUCCGGAUCGGAGUCUGCAACUCGACUCCGUGAAGUCGGAAUCGCUAGUAAUCGUGAAUCAG